UUGGGUCAAUUUGGUAGAUUUUCUGAAACCUGAUUAGUGCGCUGGUUGAGGCCACACAACUAGCUUUACGAUGCUUCCUACGUCUUUUUCGGUUAUUCGAGGGUUUUUCUUGCCUAACUUGAACGCUUAGUCAAUUACUUUUGUCGCUUUGUUCUUUUCUUUUUUUUUUUUACUAAGUUAUUAUUUCUAUAAAAUAGCAGUAAAAAU
rnacentral:lncRNA from 1 species